UCUUUUAAUUUAUUCGAUUUUAAUUAAUCAAUGAUUUCUUGACUUUAAAAUUUAAAUACCUGAUUUAUUUUUAGAAAUUUAGUUAGUAUAUUUCAUAUAGAUUUCUCAACUAUAAAUUUAUUAAAAUAAAUAAUUAUCUUAAAUUUUAAAAAUAAAAUAAUAUUGACCGAUUAAAGUCAAAUUGUAACUUCCCAGUAGUCAUAUAUAUCGGAUGAAAAAGAAGUUAUGAUUUGAUAUAUAAAAUAUCUCUAUGCUAACAAUAAUAACUGGACUUAACCUCUUGAACUCAUAAAAGUUAUUUUAUGAGAGACCUCCAUGCUAAUAAUAAUAAUUUAAUAAAUUAUUAUUACUAGCAUGUCGGGUCCUUAUGAAAAGGAAUUCAAAAAUUAAAUGA
rnacentral:lncRNA from 1 species